GACGGAGGGUGCAAGCGUUGUUCGGAAUUACUGGGCGUAAAGGGCGCGUAGGCGGUCUGUUAAGUUCGGUGUGAAAGCCCCCGGCUCACCUGGGGAACUGCGCCGGAAACCGACAGACUCGAGUACCGGAGAGGAGAGUGGAAUUCCUGGUGUAGCGGUGAAAUGCGCAGAUAUCAGGAAGAACACCUAUGGCGAAGGCAGCUCUCUGGGACGGUACUGACGCUGAGACGCGAAAGCGUGGGGAGCGAACAGG
rnacentral:rRNA from 1 species